UUAGUGGCGAAGGGGUGAGUAUCACGUGUGUGACCUGGCCUUGACUCUGGGAAUAACCUUGGAAACGGGGUCUAAUACUGGAUAUUGACUUUACCUCGAAAGGGGUUUGGUUGAAAGAUUUAUUGUUUUUGGAUGGACUCGCGGCCUAUCAGCUUGUUGGUGAGGUAAUGGCUCACCAAGGCGACGACGGGUAUGCGGCCUGAGAAGGAGACCGGCCACUCUGGGACUGACACACGGCCCACACUCCUACGGGAGGCAGCAGUGGGGAAUAUUGCACAAUGGGCGAAAGCCUGAUGCCCCGACCCCGCGUGAGGGAAGACGGCCUUCAGGUUGUAAACCUCUUUCUUUAGGGAACAAGGCCAGCAUUUUUGUUGGUUGAUGGUACUUGCACAAAAAGCGCCGGCUAACUACAUGCCUGCACCCGCGGUAAUACGUAUGGCGCAGGCGUUAUCCGGAAUUAUUGGGCGUGAAGAGCUCGUACGCGGUUUGUCGCGUCUGCCGUGAAUGUCCGGGGCUCAACCCUCGGAUCUGCGGUGGGUACGGACACACUAUAGUGAUGUAAUGGAGACUGGAAUUCCUGGUGUAUGUGUGAAAUGCGCAUAUAUCAGGAUGAACACCGAUGGCGAAGGCAAGUCUCUGGGCAUUAACUGACACUGACGAUCGAAAGCAUGGGGAGCGAA
rnacentral:rRNA from 1 species